GAUGAACGCUAGCGGCAGGCCUAACACAUGCAAGUCGAGGGGUAGAGGAAUCUUGCUUCCUUGAGACCGGCGCACGGGUGCGUAACGCGUAUGUAAUUUACCUUUUACAGAGGGAUAGCCCAGAGAAAUUCGGAUUAAUACCUCAUAGUAUCUUUUCCUGGCAUCGGGUGAUUAUUAAAGUUCCAACGGUAAAAGAUGAGCAUGCCUCCUAUUAGCUAGAUGGUAAGGUAACGGCUUACCAUGGGAACGAUAGGUAGGGGUCCUGAGCGGGAGGUCCCCCCGACUGGUCCUGAGACACGGACCAGACUCCGACGGGAGGCAGCAGUGAGGAAUAUUGGACAAUGGGCGCAAGCCUGAUCCAGCCAUGCCGCGUGCAGGAAGACGGUCCUAUGGAUUGUAAACUGCUUUUGUACGGGAAGAAACACUCCUACGUGUAGGAGCUUGACGGUACCGUAAGAAUAAGGAUCGGCUAACUCCGUGCCAGCAGCCGCGGUAAUAC
rnacentral:rRNA from 1 species